CCCGCUCUGUCGCUCUGUGCCUGUCAGCGGUCACUCCAAACCGGCCAGCCCGGCUGCAUUCACAGUCUGUGCGCGCUGCUGAGCCACAACGGAAAACGCUCGGACAGAGUUUGUCGACCCACUUCUAGACAAUCUAACAACUUCGCAAACAAUUUGGGGGAAGUUGUUGGACCUCGGUGUUCAUUUAGGGGAGUUUGUUUCGAGGAGCUUUGAAGCGUGGAGAAAAGGAAAGAAACGCAUGGACACCGGACACCAGAGGGAACAAUCAGGUGAGCUGUUAAAUGAGACGUUCAAGUGCUUCAAGUGAUAAGUCCAAGUAAAGCCAGCGAGAAAGAUAUUGAAAUGUAAGAAAGAUUAGUAGUCCAUCUUAGCUAUGAAACAUGUUUUGCCUUUUUUAAACUGUCUUUUUCAUAUAAAUAUUUCUGUAUUCAGAGCUAAAACAGCGUAAAAGUUACUGAACAUCAGUGCUGCAUAGGGCCAAACUUAGUGCAUGUCAAGGCCCUAUGUUUAUACCUUAAAUGCAUUUUAAAACGGGGGAAAAGAGGUAAUAAUUUUAUUGAUAUGUGCCACAACACUUAAAUAUCUGAUUAUUCUUUGUUAGAAGAAUAUCUAACUUUUAAAUGUCAUCUAAAGCUCUCAAAACUGUUACCCUGACCCCACAGAAAAGUUGCACCUAUGCAGCUGACAUUUACACUUGAGCUGGAGAGAGUGUGUGGAUGUUCAGUCAUUUGAGAUGGAGCUCUUGCCCGCUGAAGAUGAUGCAUUAUGCAAAAGUACUCGUCUGUUUUUCAUGUGGUCGGUACAGGCAGUAGUCUAUAUAAUGCGUUCCUGCACUGCUUGUUCAGCUUCCACUGUAAGAAAGCAUUCUUUGGGACAUGCAGGCAUGUAUUUGCAUCUAUUUACAUGAGAUAGUGUGCACAAAGGGGCUUUAUACUGGUCAAUGGCAUCAUUCAGACGCACAUGCUCACUGUGUAUUUGACUAUUUGAUGGCCACAGUCCUAACCUGAGGCUGAACCAUUUCCUGCUGUCAUAACACUAAUCUGUGUAUUGAUUGUGACUUUAGAGAGCAUCUGCAUGGGUUUGUCUGCAUGUUUGUGUGUGGUUAGUCGGUCAUGUGCUCCUCUGACCUUUGGGCCUCUGAAUCUAACAAAACAAACACCCAGACUUCAGGAACAUUAACAGACUUAUAUUGGCACAUCAUCUCACAUGUGAUUAGUUUUUGUGUUGUUUGAAUCUAAGAAGUUGGCAUUUACUAGAUGUUUUAUGCACCGAGUGAUGCAUCAAAUCAGAGGGUACAAAGCAGAGCAAUGCCCUGAAAUGUUACGCUUUUGCAAGUAAUCACCUUGUGUUCGCAACAGUCUGAUUUACCUUUGAACACAUUUUCUUUUUUUAUCUCUGUGGUCACAAAUUGCUGCAGAGCUGUUUGCAGUGAAAAUGCAUUUAUCUUUCAAACGAGAACAAAUGAUCCUUGUGGUUAUUAAAAUACCAGCCCAAUCAUCUACUUUUGGGCCUAAAGCAAUGGCCUGCUCAUGGAAAUCUGUUACAAUGAAUGAGUGAUAAUGAAGAACAAGCGUAUCUGCUGUGUGUUUGCCUGUUUUAUGCACUAAUGAUUAUCUGAAAUCCGCAUGCAAACUGUCCUCUUUGGAUCUUUUGCACACACUCGUGUAAUAACUCUCCAGAACAGACACACCGAUCCCUCCCUCCCUGCCACAUCUCUCUCUGUGUUGGCUUAUAGCCUCCUCAUUCCUCCUAUUUUCGCUAAUUGGACAUUGUACUGCACGCUACAUCAAGUAUCACCUGACUCCCUCCUGAAAGUUCCCAUCUAAAGGAUGUUUUGGCAAUACCCUGCAAAACUCUGAGGGCAGUUUUAUUGACAGUUAUCCCAGCUGGGGGAUUAUGAGGGUAAUUUCCCCCACAGUGAUGCCACCAGCCUCCUCAGAGGGAUCCAUCUGCUACAAACACAGACCAACUUCAUAAGAGCUGAUCAAAUGCAUCACUGCCACUGACUCCAACUCAGAGCUAUCCAUCUUUAUUUGGCUUGGUCAUAAAAUGGCUUUGAAGGGAUGGAUAAUGUUGAAAUAAGUUCUCGAUGGCAAGCUCUGACUGUCGUGGUAUUGCUUUCAGAAGAGGGAAGAGGAAAUAUGUGGUCUCAUUAGAAAUGCAUUAGAGGGAAGAGAGAAGGGGUAGAAGUGAGGAGCCUGAGUUUUUAUCUGUACAACUCUUAAAAGGGAAAAUAUUCACAGUCUAACUUAGGCUUGAACUAACAGCUCUCUCUCUCUCUCUCCCUCUCUUCCUCUAAUUCGCUCACUCACUAGUGCACCUCAGUGACCCAUUUAAUAUCAGCCCCGAAAUUGGCAACAAUAUUCACACGUGAUUCUCCUGACAACACAUUAGUGCUGAAUCUCAUUCAAAAUAACUCGGCUAGAAAAAGUGCCUAUUUGCACCUUCUUUAUCAUUUUAAUAACUUUCUCGCUGUCUGACUGUGUAAAAGAAACAGGAUUAGGAAAAAAGGUUGUACUUUUAACACAGGACUGUAACCAAAAAGGCUUAUUCUUGUCUUUAAAUUACAUCUUUUCACCCCCAAACUAUAACACGGAACAAAUCUCCUGAAUGAAUGUUCUUUCCAGCCAUCCCAAACUUUUCUUCUGCAUUCAGAGCAUCAGAUUUAUAAAUAUCACCUCUCUGUGCACGCUGCAGAUAAUGACCAUACGUAGGUUGGUCCAUGUUUAGAGUCUGCAGGGAUAAGGCCACUUUGGCCCAGUGACUGUUGUGUCAGAGAAAGUAAUCUUUUCUAAGCUGACAUCGCUGCAGGACUUGAGCAGCUCCAUGUGACAGGCAGGUUAACUCUGAACAACCUGCGCGUGUUCUGAACAUGUGUGUGUUCACCGAACAUGUGGACUUGUGUGUAAGUGAUGCAUUUUCUCUUCUUUUUGCAGGGAGAGUCCGUGAGUUGAAGUGAAUGACGUGAAAUAAGUUUCAGCUCCUCCUCUGAGGUGUGAUGUGACUUGCGGUGAGUCCGGUGUCUACUUUCAACUCAAGCAUGGAGCACGAGCUGAGGAUGGGUCUCUCUGUGUGGGCCAUCAUGGCGAUUGUUUGCAACUCUGUGGUGGGCGUCCUCAUCCUCGUCCUCUUCGUCAUCCUCUACAAGGCUUGCAAGGUGCCUUCACAUCCAGAGAAAAUCCCCGUUUUCACUGCAGAGCCGGAGCAGAAGAAGUCUGAACAGAAGUACCUGCUGACUGCAGCAUGAUCAUGGAUAUGUAUGGAAACAGAGGUCAUGGGUCAAGCUUCAAACCUCGACUCCAAACCUUGAGUGGUCUUCUGCACUUUCUUCCUCAGUCCCACUCACAACUCCAUCCUGUUUACUACCAUCAGCCCCUCAUCUGUGCCAUUUGUCGGAGCUCAGAGUGAGCUAACUGCAUUAAGAGUUAUGCUGAGACUCACAACAACAACAUGCAGCAGCUUCAAUCCUCUUAUCUCUUCUGUGCAUCUCAGGGACCGUCCAUCUGUCAGUGUAUUUGCUUUGCUGUACACAGGCAGACCAUGAUCUCCUCCCCUUCUCCUCCGGUAUUUCUCCUCCCUCCAUAUGAGAAAACUGAGGGGAUGUGGGGGAGAAACAGGGAAAAGAAAGCAAUGGAAAGUAAACAGAGAUUUUGUGUGGACGGGGUCGGCUGAGAGACAAAAGAGGAAAGGAGGAAAUGUAGCUUCGUAGCUUUACAGGCAGCUUCAGCACUAAUGAUGGCACCAUAGAGCUCCAGAACAGGCAAAAAGUAGAGACUAAAAGAGUCAAAGAAGAGGAAAUGUAUGAAUGUAGAGGAUACAAAGGGAGACAGACGGGUGGAACAAGUGGAUAUUUUGUUGGAAGGAUAGAGUGCAUGGUUGGAAACAGAGGGGCUGCUGAUGUAACAAAAAGGGAGCCUGAGGCCUUGGACAGCAACCCUAUUUCACCCACAAGUCACUGCCUCCACCCCUCUGACUUCAACGGGAUUAAAGCAACAGUAGAAACUUCGCUGGAGUCCCUGUGUGCCUCUCUGUCAUUUGAAUGAGAUAUUUAUGAAGCCCUUCACCAGAAAUGACUCGGCAGGAUAUGAAGUCUUAAAAAAUGAGUGAACUGAACGAAAUGUAUAGUGAAUGCUUUUCAGCUAAUACACUAACAGAAGGUUAUAGAUGCUGUCUGUAGGGACACAGAGGCGGGACUCACCACUGUGAAUUGCAAAUCAUAAUCAUCAAAAUAAAAACUGUUGUUUACUAGUAUAUAUGUUUUUGUAAGGUGGAUUCAAGUUGUUCCAAUAAAAGGGCUCCUUGGUAA
rnacentral:lncRNA from 1 species